rnacentral:rRNA from 1 species
UACGGGGGGAGCAAACGUUGUUCGGAAUCACUGGGCGUAAAGGGCGCGUAGGCGGUCCUGUAAGUGGUGUGUGAAAUCCGAUGGCUCAACCAUCGAGCUGCGCUCCAUACUGCAGGACUUGAGUACAGCAGAGGAAAGUGGAAUUCCUGGUGUAGCAGUGAAAUGCGUAGAUAUCAGGAGGAAUACCAGUGGCGAAGGCGGCUUCCUGGGGCACCACUGACGCUGAGAAGCGAAAGCUAGGGGAGCAAACGGG